CAACCGACCCAACCGACGCGGGCGCACGUCCUCCAAAAGGGGUUAGGCGUGGGGCGCAAGGGGUCGGUUAGGAGGAGCGGAGCAGGGUGAGGGCGUGGUCGGUGGUGGGUUUGGGAUCGGGUGAAAAGGGAGCUAGGGGUCUUGGAGAGGGCGGAGAUAGGGAGGAGGAGCGCAGUGGUGCCGGAGGUGGGGCCUCGGAGCGGCGGCGGACUAUUAUGAGGAGGUGGUGCGAUCGGGGAGGUGGAGUGGAAGGAAGAAAAACAGUAGACGCGGGCAGUAACUACGGACCAAGGUCUAGCCCGCGCCCAAUCCGCUCCAGCUACCACCCCACUUACCCGUCCCCUCCGCCCGCUGUUCCCGUCCGUUGUCAGCCGGGCAGCGCUACACCAGUUCGAUGUCCCUUCUCCCUCCUCCAGCCGCUGUCCCACUUCCUCGUCCGGCCGGGAGUACCUCCGUCGCGAUAGUCGGUCGAUCCCUCCGCCAGGCCGAGCGGAGACGAUACGGCACUCGUCGCCGCGAUGGAGCCGGAGCUCGGAGUGGAGGAGACGGUUAGAGGACGGCGCUCUGUCACGGAAGGGUGCAAGAGUUAGACCGCAAUGGCACGUACCACCAAAGUCUAGCCCGCGUCCAGCGUCGGUACCUUCAUUCCCCGUACCACCAAAGACACUACACAUACCUCCUCGCCACCUUCCACUCCUACUGCCUGUCCACCCUUCCGCGUUGUUCUGACCUCGACGUUGCGAGCGUAGUACCACCGCACCUCGGCAGGUAGUGAUGGGUAGCUGAGGUCAAAUCUAUACAUGUUGUCAGCGGGGCAGCGCUACACCACUUUGAUGUCCCUUCUCCCUCCUCCGGCCGCUGUCCCACUUCCUCGUCCGGCCGGGAGUACCUCCGUCGCGAUGGUCGAUCGAUCCCUCCGCCAGGCCGAGCGGAGACGAUACGGCACUCGCCGUCGCGAUGGAGACGGAGGUCGGAGUGGAGGAGACGGUUGGUACCCUUUUAAAUCCCCUCUGGGUUCUUAUUAUUAAGCUCACCUACCGUUACGCGGAACAACAAAUCGCCAUACUACCAGCCACUAUCAUACAAGAUAUAUAUAACGUUCCUAGUAUUCUACGAAAAUGUGUACUAACACACUACGAGUCUCUGUAAAACGUGUCAUCUUUGAAGAACACUUCGAACUAAAAUAAGUCUACCACUAAACCCGACUUUCUAAUAACGUUCGUAUCUUAGAAAAUUUACAGGAAUAACUGUACCAAACAUACUAUUUGAAGGUUUUAUAAGUAAAUUGCAACGAUAAAAAGAAAAGUCUCGGUAUACUAAAAAAAUAUCUUUUACACGUCUCAUUUUACCUGUGUCGAAGACCAUGUAGACUCGUGGCUGCUGGUGUUACCCUACCUAGUUCGUCGGUUCUGAGUCUCACACCAGCCCGCCGCGGUACCCCGUCUAGACACGCCACGUUCCCCGCCAUCUACACUUUGACUUCGAAGGGGCGAUUGAAGCUUCGUCAGUUAACUCGUCUACCUGUACUGCUCACUCCUAACCACGACGGCGGGGACCAUCCUCGGGUUACAGGAUUAGCUUGAUGACAGUACCUCUCCCGUUAUGCACCUAAACGAAGUCUAUAACCUCUGUUGCGGUAACACGGCUUCGAGCCUUGUUAGAAGCUAUGUAACCCACUUCGUAUGCUAAAAAUGUUAGACAUAAAUACCCUCUUUCCUAAACCGUAAACUAUACCAUUUUCAACAGACUUACAACUCUCCUGCACCUUUAGAUAACACCUAUUAUGACCAGAACGGCCGCAAUCACGGGAUGAGACUAUUCCGACGACGUCAGACUUGGUAAGUAACAGAGCGUGCAUACGCGUCUGCUAUGUGACUACUAGCGUGUUCGUGUAGUUGCACAUGUCGUCCCUAAACUACUUCUUAAACUCCGUCUUGUUACACUUGGGACGAUUUCACGUGUUGUAAUCCGUCAAAGAAACCCAGCUACCUCUUACACGGAAAGUGUUUUUCUCGAAGUUCCUCGAACACACCGUUUUAUUCGGCGCUCGUUGGCCGACUACUACAAUCAAUUUGCUACCUCCACAAACGCCUCGAACCAAGUUUCCUAGGAGUGAAGUGUAUAGUACACGUCCGGCUAUUCCUCCUCUCCUAUUUGCGUGAGUACACACAUUUACCCCUGUCAUCCGACCACGUUUUUUCUGACCUCGAAUAAGAGUUUAAAAGACAGAGAUUAUGACUUAAACCACACAUGGCUAUUUAGUACAUCGCGCACUCUAGGUAGUACGUCAAAUUGACGAUUAGGGUUAAUACAAUACGUACGGGACUUCGACUACUUAAACACAAGAGGAUAUGACUUUACAGUUUAACUAACACACAUACUAAUCUAUGAAGACAUCUUUCAUGUAACUUG
rnacentral:rRNA from 1 species